CAGGCGGGUCUCCAGCCCUCCAGUGCAUUCUCCCUCCCCCUUUCAGGGUUCUCCAGCUCUUGGACAGAGUGCCUACAAGAGGCAAGGCAGCUGUGUGCACAACCAUCUCAGCUCAGGGAUACACAGCUCUGUGGAGCUGCCAGGUGGGCAGCAGGACAGCGGCUUUGUGACACUCACCUACUAUCCAUGAAUAGUGGCUAGGAAGACUUUGCCGUCUUUUCCAUCCAUUCCUGAGCACUGUGGAAAAGUUGAGAUGGAUGUUCCAGGGUUCCAAUGCACCUCUCUCACCUGCCAGUGCAAGCCCCUGUUUCUUUCUGUGCCUUCUGUGAAGGGAGAGGGGGAGCCAUCCCAUCUCGAGAGCUUGUUGUAAAGGAUUUCAAAAGGCAAUUCAAGAGAUUAGAAAACCAGGUCAGUGAGAUGGCUGAGGUAAGGGCAAUCACUCUCAACUGUGACUACCCGGGUUCGAUCCUUGGAACAAAUGAUGAAGGAAGAGAAACAGCCCCGAGCUCCACACAUGUGCCCUCCACAAAUGGCCAGGCACAGCCACUCUACGGAGGGCAGGAACUCAGGAGGAGGCCUAGCUCUGAUGGAACCAGGACCCUGAGAGCCUCAGGGAGGCUGAGAUGACUCCAAGGAGAGCGGGGCUCAGGGGACAGUCACAGGAUGAGGGGGCUUGGAGUCGAGAAGAGGACACGGAUGGGCCAGGCCAGGGCUGGGAUGGAGUUGCAACACCUUCCGAUGGAAAUGGAAGGUUGGAUCCAUUGAAUGUGGGCUAUGGACAUACCUCACAGCUACAAUACUUGCCUUACUAUGUGCAAGGUCCUAGGUUCACUUCCCCAGCAC
rnacentral:lncRNA from 1 species